AUUGCUUAAUUUGAAACUAUGUUUCAAGACAAUGUUACAUUGAUUAGGGAAUUAGAAAAGAUGUACCAUAGACAAUAUAUCAUAUAACAUGUUGUCUGAAACCUGAUUUCCUACCUUCUAUGAGUCUUGAUUGGAAAUUCACUUGGUAUGUCAGUAUACAGCUGAAAGUAAAACCAUGGAGAUAGCUUAUCCAGGAGUCAAAUUGAAGAAUAUUGAAGACCGCAGAAAUAAACUUUGGAGCUAAUUUAAUAAUAUAGCACAUCCUUUUUCAAUAAUGUUUUACUUAUUAGAAUAGUUUGUGAGCACUCAUGCUUCUCCUAGAAAAUAGAAUAAGAAAGCCUGAAAUUGUUACUUGUUCAGAAUACUAAUGAUCUUUGUUUCACUGUCUCUAGCUUUCAAAGAAAGGACUAUCAUAUAUUAGGAAUCAUUAUUCAAGAUCAAUUUUGGCCAAGAAUCAAACUGAUCAAACAUUUUGAAGACUUUGUGUAGAGGCUCUGCCACUGAAUUGCAAACCCAACUCGGCUGAGACAAAUUUCAUUUCAAUCCACUCCAUGACCCAGCCUCAGUCAAAGAUUGGUAGAUACUUCAACUUAACAACUAAUAGAGAUAAAAGCACUGGCCAACCACCUGGAACCAAAUAUAUGUGCCUAGCAAGGACCUGAAAACCUAUUCUUGGACAUUUACUUUCAUAGCAACAAGAGAGAGAAAUAAUACAAAAUUUAUAAACACUGCCCUAAAGGAAGGCAAUAGCAUAGAUCACUCCUAUAUCCUGUCAGAUUGGAUAUGGCUAACAAGUCAAACUACAGAGCCUUUAUCCCACAUUUUCAAUUGUCAACAUCACUUCUUCCUGAACUAACAAAGGGACUGGCCCUACUCUUGAAAGACCUUUAGAGAAAGCAGAUCCCUAAGUCUGUGAGAGGAUGCUCUGUGUCAAAACCCACUAAUCACAUCCAGAGAAGCAACAUGAGAAACUACACUAUGAAGUCCAGUUGAAAUGAAACUUAACAUCACACACACACACAUACACACACACACACACACACACACACAAAACCAUUAGUCUAG
rnacentral:lncRNA from 1 species